CAUGCAAGUCGUACGCACUGGCCCAACUGAUUGAUGGUGCUUGCACCUGAUUGACGAUGGAUCACCAGUGAGUGGCGGACGGGUGAGUAACACGUAGGUAACCUGCCCCGGAGCGGGGGAUAACAUUUGGAAACAGAUGCUAAUACCGCAUAACAACAAAAGCCACAUGGCUUUUGUUUGAAAGAUGGCUUUGGCUAUCACUCUGGGAUGGACCUGCGGUGCAUUAGCUAGUUGGUAAGGUAACGGCUUACCAAGGCGAUGAUGCAUAGCCGAGUUGAGAGACUGAUCGGCCACAAUGGAACUGAGACACGGUCCAUACUCCUACGGGAGGCAGCAGUAGGGAAUCUUCCACAAUGGGCGCAAGCCUGAUGGAGCAACACCGCGUGAGUGAAGAAGGGUUUCGGCUCGUAAAGCUCUGUUGUUGGAGAAGAACGUGCGUGAGAGUAACUGUUCACGCAGUGACGGUAUCCAACCAGAAAGUCACGGCUAACUACGUGCCAGCAGCCGCGGUAAUACGUAGGUGGCAAGCGUUAUCCGGAUUUAUUGGGCGUAAAGCGAGCGCAGGCGGUUGCUUAGUCUGAUGUGAAAGCCUUCGGCUUAACCGAAGAAGUGCAUCGGAAACCGGGCGACUUGAGUGCAGAAGAGGACAGUGGAACUCCAUGUGUAGCGGUGGAAUGCGUAGAUAUAUGGAAGAACACCAGUGGCGAAGGCGGCUGUCUGGUCUGCAACUGACGCUGAGGCUCGAAAGCAUGGGUAGCGAACAGGAUUAGAUACCCUGGUAGUCCAUGCCGUAAACGAUGAGUGCUAGGUGUUGGAGGGUUUCCGCCCUUCAGUGCCGGAGCUAACGCAUUAAGCACUCCGCCUGGGGAGUACGACCGCAAGGUUGAAACUCAAAGGAAUUGACGGGGGCCCGCACAAGCGGUGGAGCAUGUGGUUUAAUUCGAAGCUACGCGAAGAACCUUACCAGGUCUUGACAUCUUGCGCUAACCUUAGAGAUAAGGCGUUCCCUUCGGGGACGCAAUGACAGGUGGUGCAUGGUCGUCGUCAGCUCGUGUCGUGAGAUGUUGGGUUAAGUCCCGCAACGAGCGCAACCCUUGUUACUAGUUGCCAGCAUUAAGUUGGGCACUCUAGUGAGACUGCCGGUGACAAACCGGAGGAAGGUGGGGACGACGUCAGAUCAUCAUGCCCCUUAUGACCUGGGCUACACACGUGCUACAAUGGACGGUACAACGAGUCGCAAGCUCGCGAGAGUAAGCUAAUCUCUUAAAGCCGUUCUCAGUUCGGACUGUAGGCUGCAACUCGCCUACACGAAGUCGGAAUCGCUAGUAAUCGCGGAUCAGCAUGCCGCGGUGAAUACGUUCCCGGGCCUUGUACACACCGCCCGUCACACCAUGGGAGUUUGAACGCCCAAAGUCGGUGGCCUAACCUUUAUGGAGGGAGCCGCCUAAGGCGGGACAGAUGACUGGGGUGAAGUCU
rnacentral:rRNA from 2 species